rnacentral:rRNA from 1 species
UACAGAGGUCCCAAGCGUUGUUCGGAUUCAUUGGGCGUAAAGGGUGCGUAGGCGGCGCGGUAAGUCGGGUGUGAAAUCUCAGGGCUCAACCCUGAAACUGCACUUGAUACUGCUCUGCUUGAGGACUGGAGAGGAGACUGGAAUUCACGGUGUAGCAGUGAAAUGCGUAGAUAUCGUGAGGAAGACCAGUGGCGAAGGCGGGUCUCUGGACAGUUCCUGACGCUGAUGCGCGAAAGCUAGGGUAGCAAACGGG